UCGAGCAGCAGCUCACCACUACAAACUCCGCUCUGCUCUGUCAACAUGCCAGACUCUACUGAAGCUGUGCCAGCUGCAUGCCUUGUCAUUAAGGAGGACGUCGACAAGUGUGUCAGAGGAAAAGGUGCAGAGCGCUGUAAAGAUCUGAUAGAUGCCUUCCAAGCUUGUAUAAAAACCCUGUCAGAGGGGUCAUAACACACAAGAAAUACAUGCUAAUCGUUGCUGUAUCAAAGACCUCCUCUUCCCAGCAUUCCCUUCCUCUUUUGUGCUGGACUGAACCAUCUGAC